ensembl:lncRNA
UUAAUUAGUUUCUAUGAUAACUUAAUUCUGCAUAAAUCGUCUGAGUAAAAGUCAGUGUUAUGUUUUGGAGAAAAGUGUUUCAUGGUUUUGUAACAGCUAACAAGAUCCGGUUAGUUUACUUCAGAAGAAGCCCCAGCUUUCUGUGCUUUUUUCCAGUGACAGAAACUUAAAAUCGAUGAUGAAUCUGCGGUUGUUUGGACUGUUUUUUUUUCUUGGUUUCCUUAUGCACUGGUUGACUCACUGUUGUCAGGUCGCAUUCUUUCACUAUGCAGCAAUUUAUAUAAGAGCUCAGCGAACAGGUGGCAUCGCAUCAGACAAGCACCGAGGUAGGGUACGUGAGGAGCCUCCACUAACUACUACAAGUCUAAAGGGCACUUGGGUUUAAGAACUGCCACAAUGGGUUUUGGACGCAUCCUAUCAACUCUGCUAAUACUUGCAGUGGCCGUAGAGCUAGUUAUUGUACCAGCUACAGCCCAGAGUACAACUGAAAGUCCAGCAACAAGCGCGUCAAAUACAACAGCAGCAACACCAAGCGCGUCAACUACAGCAACAACAGAAGCAGGUGUGUCAAAUACAACUACAACAACAACAACAGAAGCAGGUGUGUCAAGUACAACAACAGCAACAACAGCAGGAGGAGCGUCAAAUACAACUACAACAACAGCAACAACAGAUGCAGGUGUGUCAAGUACAACAACAGCAACAACAGCAGCAGGAGGUGCGUCAAAUACAACAACAGCAACAACAGCAGCAGGUGCGUCAAGUACAACAGCAGCAGGAGGAGCGUCAAAUACAACUACAACAACAACAACAGCAACAACAGCAGCAGGAGGUGCGUCAAAUACAACAACAGCAACAACAGCAGGAGGAGCGUCAAAUACAACUACAACAACAACAACAGCAACAACAGCAGCAGGAGGUGCGUCAAAUACAACUACAACAACAACAACAGCAACAACAGCAGCAGGAGGUGCGUCAAAUACAACUACAACAACAACAACAGCAACAACAGCAGCAGGAGGUGCGUCAAAUACAACUACAACAACAACAACAGCAACAACAGCAGCAGGAGGUGCGUCAAAUACAACAACAGCAACAACAGCAGGAGGAGCGUCAAAUACAACUACAACAACAACAGCAGCAGGAGGUGCGUCAAAUACAACUACAACAACAACAGCAGCAGGAGGUGCGUCAAAUACAACAACAGCAACAACAGCAGCAGGUGCGUCAAAUACAACUACAACAACAACAGCAGGUGCGUCAAAUACAACUACAACCACGACAACAACAGCAGGUGCGUCAAGUACAACUACAACAGCUGCAGCAGGUGUGUCAAAUACAACUACAACCACGACAACAACAGCAGCAGGUGUGUCAAAUACAACUACAACCACGACAACAACAGCAGCAGGUGCGUCAAGUACAACUACAACAGCAGCAGCAGGUGUGUCAAAUACAACUACAACCACCACAACAACAGCAGCAGGUGUGUCAAGUACAACUACAACAGCAGCAGGAGGUGCGUCAAAUACAACAACUGGGAGUUCGCCAACAACUGCAGCUUCUACAACAGAGGCAGUCACAGGAAAGAAUUUAACUUUCAAAACUGAUGAGACAUUUACGAGCGACUUGCUGAAUCCAUCAUCCCCAGGGUUUAAAAAUCGAUCGGCCAGGAUAAAGAAUGCACUCACACCUUUCUACGCUAAAUCAUUCCCUUCAUUUCGCGACAUACAGGCUGUUGCAUUCAGUAAUGGAUCCAUUUUCAAUGUGGUGAUAAUUUAUUUUGCAUCUGGAUCUGUUCCCAACAACUCUGCCAUUGUGCAAGUUUUGAUCAAUGCAGCCUCAAACAUCACAGACUUCAACAUCAACGUCAAUGCAAUUUUUGUGGAUGGCGCGCAAGCCUCAAGUGGAGUAAGCCACAAGAUCAGUGUCAUCACUGCCUCCUGCCUGGUGCUGUUGUCAUGUCUGCUGUCAAACCAGCAUUGGUGGCAGUAG